rnacentral:rRNA from 1 species
GGUUUUACCUGAUCGAGUUGUAAUUUGAAGAAGCGUUUUUUGCGUAUUUGGUCAGCCUAAGUCCUGUUGAAUGAGGCAUCAUGGAGGGUGAUAAUCCCGUCCGGUUGAUCAUUUGCGUUUUACGAUACGCUUUCUAAGAGUCAAGUUGUUUGGGAUUGCAGCUUAAAAUGGGAGGUAAAUUUCUCCUAAGGCUAAAUAACGGCGAGAGACCGAUAGCGAACAAGUACCGUGAGGGAAAGAUGAAAAGAACUUUGAAAGGAGAGUUAAACAGUACGUGAAAUUGUUGAAAGGGAAACGAUUGAAGCCAGUCGUACCUUCGGGUAAUCAGCCUUUCGGGUGCGAUUCUGUGGAGUGUGAGGAGCUUAAACACCUUCAUGUUUUGCAUAUUCGUACUCUUGGGUGUACUUGCCCGUGUGGUUGGUUAACAUCAAUUUUGGUGGUCAUAAAAUGACUGGGGGAAUGUAGCUUCGAUCUUGUAUUGAAGUGUUAUAGCCUUCGGUAGAUGUGAUGAUCGAGAUUGAGGAUUACAACGGAUACCCUUUGGGGCUACCUGUCUGAUCUCUGAUCGUUGCUUUGGUGCCGAAAGCUUGCUUACGGUUAUCAAAGUCGAUGGU